CGAACGUAGGGGGCAAGGCGUUGGUCCGGAUUUACUGGGCGUAAAUGAGCGCGCAGGCGGUCGUUCAAGUCGAGUGUGAAAGCCCCCGGCUCAACCUGGGGAGGGUCACUCGAUACUGAUCGACUCGAAGGCAGGAGAGGGAAGUGGAAGUUCCCGGUGUAGUGGUGGAAUGCGUAGAGAUCGGGAGGAACACCUGUGGCG
rnacentral:rRNA from 1 species